AACUUGAGCUAAUACCGUAUGUGCCCUUCGGGGGAAAGAUUUAUCGCCAUUGGAGCGGCCCGCGUCUGAUUAGCUAGUUGGUGAGGUAAUGGCUCACCAAGGCUACGAUCAGUAGCUGGUCUGAGAGGAUGACCAGCCACAUUGGGACUGAGACACGGCCCAAACUCCUACGGGAGGCAGCAGUGGGGAAUCUUGCGCAAUGGGCGAAAGCCUGACGCAGCCAUGCCGCGUGGAUGAUGAAGGUCUUAGGAUUGUAAAAUCCUUUCACCGGGGACGAUAAUGACGGUACCCGGAGAAGAAGCCCCGGCUAACUUCGUGCCAGCAGCCGCGGUAAUACGAAGGGGGCUAGCGUUGCUCGGAAUUACUGGGCGUAAAGGGCGCGUAGGCGGACAUUUAAGUCGGGGGUGAAAUCCCAGGGCUCAACCCUGGAACUGCCUUCGAUACUGGAUGUCUUGAGUGCGGGAGAGGUGUGUGGAACUCCGAGUGUAGAGGUGAAAUUCGUAGAUAUUCGGA
rnacentral:rRNA from 1 species